AAAAGCAUGCAUGCAGAGGCUGCAGCCGUGAUUUACACCGUGACAUAAUAUGUUUUUGACACAAAAAGUACUUGUCACAAAGCAGGAUACAAAAACAACUCUUCUAAGUGUCUUAAAGGAGCAAGGAAAACCUAGCUUUUAUCAGUCAAUAAUACAUCUGACAUCAAUAAUGAUUGAAAACUGACAGUUCCAAGAUGCGAUCGAGGUGCUUCCAAUCCCUGAAAUGAAAAGAAAGAAGAGGAAAAUCAGGAGGUUAAGUAAUGAUGGAGAGUUUUAACUGGUCAUCGUCCUCAAAAGCAGUGAAGAUUAAUUGGGAAGAUGUGACUUUUCCUGAAACCCCGCAAAGCCGCAGUACACUUUCAUAAAACCAAAGAGAAAUGUCUGUUCUAAAUGGCUUCAGGGAAAUCAUGCCAUCACAAAAUAUUUUCCUCAGAAGACUCAUAUUCUGCUUAGGGACUUCAAAACUUCCCAUUUGUACGUAUUGACUGCUUUGUUCUGGCGGAGACUCUGGGCUUUCACACUCCAGGCUCAUUUUUACAGGACAAGCUAGAGGCUGCUGCGUUAUUGUACGUGUCCUUGCACUGUUGACUCACAGACGAUGGGAAAUUUUGUGCUGAGGUUUUGUGUUUCUUAUGUAUCAGUGAAAUGCACGGAGAUCAUCAAGGAAGAACCAAGAAUGACAGAGGAUUGCAGAAUGCUGAGCUCGCCUGAGCUUACGGAAUCCCAAGGAAAUAAGGGAGGACAGAUCUUGGUCACAGUUGAGACACUCAUCACGCUCCUCCACGUGCAAAGGAGGACCUCUCCACAGGUAGUAUCCAUGUCCUCACUGCCCACUUCAGCUGUGGUUCCCAUAGGACAACCUUGGUGCACAGCCCUCCCUGACAGCCACACAGACGUCACUGAUGAGCUACGGCACUGCCUAGGCUCUGUGUUCUGGUGA
rnacentral:lncRNA from 1 species